AGAGAGCUUGCUCUCGGGUGACGAGUGGCGGACGGGUGAGUAAUGUCUGGGAAACUGCCUGAUGGAGGGGGAUAACUACUGGAAACGGUAGCUAAUACCGCAUAACGUCGCAAGACCAAAGAGGGGGACCUUCGGGCCUCUUGCCAUCAGAUGUGCCCAGAUGGGAUUAGCUAGUAGGUGGGGUAACGGCUCACCUAGGCGACGAUCCCUAGCUGGUCUGAGAGGAUGACCAGCCACACUGGAACUGAGACACGGUCCAGACUCCUACGGGAGGCAGCAGUGGGGAAUAUUGCACAAUGGGCGCAAGCCUGAUGCAGCCAUGCCGCGUGUAUGAAGAAGGCCUUCGGGUUGUAAAGUACUUUCAGCGGGGAGGAGGUGUUGCGGUUAAUAACCGCAGCAAUUGACGUUACCCGCAGAAGAAGCACCGGCUAACUCCGUGCCAGCAGCCGCGGUAAUACGGAGGGUGCAAGCGUUAAUCGGAAUUACUGGGCGUAAAACGCACGCAGGCGGUCUGUCAAGUCGGAUGUGAAAUCCCCGGGCUCAACCUGGGAACUGCAUUCGAAACUGGCAGGCUAGAGUCUUGUAGAGGGGGGUAGAAUUCCAGGUGUAGCGGUGAAAUGCGUAGAGAUCUGGAGGAAUACCGGUGGCGAAGGCGGCCCCCUGGACAAAGAC
rnacentral:rRNA from 1 species